GGUUAAGCGACUAAGCGUACACGGUGGAUGCCCUGGCAGUCAGAGGCGAUGAAGGACGUGCUAAUCUGCGAAAAGCGCCGGCGAGGUGAUAUGAACCYUUGACCCGGCGAUGUCCGAAUGGGGAAACCCAGUGCAAUCCGUUGCACUAUCGUUAACUGAAUACAUAGGUUAACGAGGCGAACCGGGGGAACUGAAACAUCUAAGUACCCCGAGGAAAAGAAAUCAACCGAGAUUCCCCCAGUAGCGGCGAGCGAACGGGGAGCAGCCCGGAGUCUGAAUGUCUGAAU
rnacentral:rRNA from 1 species